rnacentral:rRNA from 1 species
AGCCUGAUGCAGCGACGCCGCGUGAGGGANGACGGCCUUCGGGUUGUAAACCUCUUUCAGUAGGGAAGAAGCGAAAGUGACGGUACCUGCAGAAGAAGCGCCGGCUAACUACGUGCCAGCAGCCGCGGUAAUACGUAGGGCGCAAGCGUUAUCCGGAAUUAUUGGGCGUAAAGAGCUCGUAGGCGGUUUGUCGCGUCUGCCGUGAAAGUCCGGGGCUCAACUCCGGAUCUGCGGUGGGUACGGGCAGACUAGAGUGAUGUAGGGGAGACUGGAAUUCCUGGUGUAGCGGUGAAAUGCGCAGAUAUCAGGAGGAACACCGAUGGCGAAGGCAGGUCUCUGGGCAUUAACUGACGCUGAGGAGCGAAAGCAUGGGGAGCGAACAGGAUUAGAUACCCUGGUAGUCCAUGCCGUAAACGUUGGGCACUAGGUGUGGGGGACAUUCCACGUUUUCCGCGCCGUAGCUAACGCAUUAAGUGCCCCGCCUGGGGAGUACGGCCGCAAGGCUAAAACUCAAAGGAAUUGACGGGGGCCCGCACAAGCGGCGGAGCAUGCGGAUUAAUUCGAUGCAACGCGAAGAACCUUACCAAGGCUUGACAUGGACCGGACCGCCGCAGAAAUGUGGUUUCCCCUUUGGGGCCGGUUCACAGGUGGUGCAUGGUUGUCGUCAGCUCGUGUCGUGAGAUGUUGGGUUAAGUCCCGCAACGAGCGCAACCCUCGUUCUAUGUUGCCAGCGCGUUAUGGCGGGGACUCAUAGGAGACUGCCGGGGUCAACUCGGAGGAAGGUGGGGACGACGUCNAAUCAUCAUGCCCCUUAUGUCUUGGGCUUCACGCAUGCUACAAUGGCCGGUACAAAGGGUUGCGANACUGUGAGGUGNANCUAAUCCCAAAAAGCCGGUCUCAGUUCGNANUGGGGUCUGCAACUCGACCC